rnacentral:lncRNA from 1 species
AUGGAAGGGGACGGGGAUGGGGCUGGGCUGGCUGGGGGCCGUGGCAGGGCAGCCGGGGCUCCUUCCCAGCCACAUUCCAACCGGGAGCAGCUGUGGCAGCUCUGCCCUCCCACCCAGCAGAAGAGGCCCCGCACGGCGGGAGAGGGGGCAGUGCCGGGGCCACGCUCACACCACAGCCCUCACUGCCAGCCAGGACAUCACGGACACACAGACGGGACUGGCCCGGCAGGACACCCCCCACAGCCACCACACACCUGCCGGGAGGAACUGAGUGCCCAGCACUGUGACAAGGGACACGGAGCUGCCAGGGCACAGAGGCACAGGGGCUGCAGGGAUCCCAGAGGUGUGAGGGUCCUGCCAGUGCAGGACAGGGACUGUGGAGAGGGGGAGCCCUGCCACGGCACAGAGCUCUCCCACCAUCUGCCCGGCCUCUCGUCCUCUGUUGAGGACACACAAGCCCAGCUCUGGGCAGCUGCUACAAUCCUGGGAAGAUCCCAGGCUCCCAAAGCCAGUCUAGGAUGGCUGAGAACAGCAGAGCAAGGCAAGGGGGGAACAUGGGGAUGCAAUGACACAACACAGAUUGGGGCUGAGGUUGUGCAGAGCUGGGGAGGGCUCAGUGCAGACACCCAGGAACAAAUGCAGCCCCAGCACCAGCCAGGAGCCAGUGGCACAGGCACGCAGGCAAACCCUUCCCUGCAGCUGCCCACCUUGGUUGCCUUCUCCCUCCCUCGAAGCCCAGGGUGGUGUGAGCACCAGGGCAGGAUGGAAGGAGGGUCCCCUCAUAGCUGCUGCCUUGUUACAUCACACAGAAAGGAGCACAGGAAGACAGCUACCUACAAACCACUGCCAGCAGAACUCCUUCCCACUUGUUUGGGACCUUGGGGCACCAAAACGUCUCCUGACAAGCCUUGCCACGCCAACCACAAAACAACGCCACGGAUUACAGGAAGGAGGGAGGAGGGGAGAGAGGACAUUGCUGCCACGAUUGCUUUCCCCUUUCUUGGGGAUUCCUCAGCAGGAGGGCGCAGGCUGGCCCUGACAGCCUCACCCUGCCAGAGCUGGGCCCGGGCGGAGGGGCAGCCCCAGCCCUGA